rnacentral:rRNA from 1 species
CUUUGAAGUGUGGACGCCAGUCUGCAUGGAGCCGACCUUGAAAUACCACCCUUUAAUGUUUGAUGUUCUAACGUUGACCCGUAAUCCGGGUUGCGGACAGUGUCUGGUGGGUAGUUUGACUGGGGCGGUCUCCUCCUAAAGAGUAACGGAGGAGCACGAAGGUUGGCUAAUCCUGGUCGGACAUCAGGAGGUUAGUGCAAUGGCAUAAGCCAGCUUGACUGCGAGCGUGACGGCGCGAGCAGGUGCGAAAGCAGGUCAUAGUGAUCCGGUGGUUCUGAAUGGAAGGGCCAUCGCUCAACGGAUAAAAGGUACUCCGGGGAUAACAGGCUGAUACCGCCCAAGAGUUCAUAUCGACGGCGGUGUUUGGCACCUCGAUGUCGGCUCAUCACAUCCUGGGGCUGAAGUAGGUCCCAAGGGUAUGGCUGUUCGCCAUUUAAAGUGGUACGCGAGCUGGGUUUAGAACGUCGUGAGACAGUUCGGUCCCUAUCUGCCGUGGGCGCUGGAGAACUGAGGGGGGCUGCUCCUAGUACGAGAGGACCGGAGUGGACGCAUCACUGGUGUUCGGGUUGUCAUGCCAAUGGCACUGCCCGGUAGCUAAAUGCGGAAGAGAUAAGUGCUGAAAGCAUCUAAGCACGAAACUUGCCCCGAGAUGAGUUCUCCCUGACUCCUUGAGAGUCCUGAAGGAACGUUGAAGACGACGACGUUGAUAGGCCGGGUGUGUAAGCGCAGCGAUGCGUUGAGCUAACCGGUACUAAUGAACCGUGAGG